GAUGAAGAACGUAGCGAAAUGCGAUAAGUAAUGUGAAUUGCAGAAUUCAGUGAAUCAUCGAAUCUUUGAACGCACAUUGCGCCCGCCAGUAUUCUGGCGGGCAUGCCUGUUCGAGCGUCAUUACAACCCUCAGGCCCCCGGGCCUGGCGUUGGGGAUCGGCGGAGCCCCCCGUGGGCACACGCCGUCCCCCAAAUACAGUGGCGGUCCCGCCGCAGCUUCCAUCGCGUAGUAGCUAACACCUCGCGACUGGAGAGCGGCGCGGCCACGCCGUAAAACACCCAACUCUUCUGAAGUUGACCUCGAAUCGGGUAGGAAUACCCGCUGAACUUAAGCAUAUCAAUAAGCGGAGGA
rnacentral:misc_RNA from 1 species